rnacentral:rRNA from 1 species
CCUACGGGAGACAGCAGUGAGGAAUAUUGGUCAAUGGACGAGAGUCUGAACCAGCCAAGUAGCGUGAAGGAUGACUGCCCUAUGGGUUGUAAACUUCUUUUAUAUUGGAAUAAAAUGUUCCACGUGUGGGAUUUUGUAUGUACCAUAUGAAUAAGGAUCGGCUAAAUCCGUGCCAGCAGCCGCGGUAAUACGGAGGAUCCGAGCGUUAUCCGGAUUUAUUGGGUUUAAAGGGAGCGUAGGUGGAUUGUUAAGUCAGUUGUGAAAGUUUGCGGCUCAACCGUAAAAUUGCAGUUGAAACUGGCAGUCUUGAGUACAGUAGAGGUGUGCGGAAUUCGUGGUGUAGCGGUGAAAUGCUUAGAUAUCACGAAGAACUCCGAUUGCGAAGGCAGUUCACUGGACUGCAACUGACACUGAGGCUCGAAAGUGUGGGUAUCAAACAGGAUUAGAUACCCUUGUAGUC